rnacentral:piRNA from 1 species
UGGGAAUGAGACAAUGGUGGGAAAAGAGG